UCCGUUAGAGGUUGAGUCUUGUUUGAAUAAUAAUACAUAACGUUUUUCUCUUGAGUAAUUCUAUAUUAAAAAGGUAAGUCUGAUCUCGAAGAAGUGAACAAACAUUAACAGCUAGCAUAUAAACUAAAAAAUGUAUAUUGCGAAUAACUGUCGAGUGAUAUUACAUUUAUAAAUUUGUUAUCCACUGAAUCAUGUUGUCACAUUCGCCCACAUAAUUACGAUAUACAAAAGUAUUUCGCAAUCUAGGCUGCAUUCAACUUUUUUACGAUAACCCCUUAAUGCUGCUGGACGGCCCGCAAUAAUGAUACUGUAAGCAAGAUUGUCUGCCUUGAAGGUAACACUUCUUUCUUCAGAACCACUGAAUCCAUUGGUGAAAGUAAAUGCUGAGAUAUUGUAACCAUUUUUGCUACCCACUAUUUUCCAAUUGAAUGAAGGUAACUUCAAAUAUGCCAGUUCAGAAGCUAAAUCAACAAAUGUAAAUUCAACACAAGGGUCAGUUUCUUUUUCUGCCGAUAUCAGUUCUAUUUUUUUUGGGUUGAAUGAAGAUUUCAACAUAUAGUAAAAACUGCUGGUCUGUGCCACUUGUUAAUUUUGUAUCCAAGUUUUGAUGGAUGCAGAUGGGUUGAACAAUAACUUCUGUCUUCUGAUUCCAAUGGGAUUCAUCUUUGACCGCCUUUAUCAAUACCAAAUAGUUUCCGCAAUUCAUCUUUACAGAUUCUUCAGCUCUAAAGUUGAGUUUCUUCGUCAGUAUAUGUGAUAUCAGAAGUUUGUAUUCCUCUUUGAAAUAAACUCGCAAAUUAUUGACACUAUCUUAAAACAAAUGCUUAUUUGUUUAAAUAACUAUCAUGUAAUAUUCAAUUCGAAACAAUAUUAAUUUUUGAAUGAUGUAUUUCUGUUCACAUGUAUGAUAUCACUUUAUACCCAACUGAUGAAAACAAAAGGUAAAGUUUUGUUAUAAGGGGGUAGAGAUUGCCGCCUUUUUGAAAAUAUUUUAAAUGGGUGCUCGUAUCAAAAUUACUUUGAUUCCACUUUCUUCGUUCAGUGUUCUAAGAACACUUUGUUUACAGUAUCUGUGCUGGAAUAGAAAUAAAUAGAUUAUAUUAAUGUUUCUCAUCAGUUCAACUUUAGUGCAAUUUUCUCUAGAAUGACGUCAUAAAGAUGGCGCCCAAACUUUCAACAUUGCGCAGCCCCUCCUCAUUACUAAAUUGUCUCGGAGGUGAAUGCGGGAAAACAAAAUUCUAAAUCGCAUCACCUUUGAAUGUCGAAACGGCGUCUUUUCAAAGUUCGACUGUGAAUUGUUUGAAAUUGCUGAAACCAGUUCAGUAUUUAGAAGACUCGUAGGUCGUAGGAUGGAAUAUUUAUCAGAAAUUUACAAAUAGUUGUAGAUAGACCUCAAUCAGAAAACAUUUGUAUCAAGUAAAGUACCUGUUUGAGAAUCGACUCCACCCCGCUAUCAAAAUAAGGAUUUCAUGGAGUAUCGCACUAUCCUAUUGAGUAAAAUAGAAAGGUUGCAGCAAAUCUGAAAACAAAGCGACAGAGAAAAUCAACAACUUCAAAUUGCAUCCUUGAAGUCAUAAUGCAAAACCUGACUGGAAAAGUACAUCUAAAUUAUCAGCAAGCUACGAAUUCUUACUAUGCAGUUUGGAAAACUAGAAAUCGAAUUUGAAAACAUCCGAAUAGACUGCAUUGAAUUGAAAAUUACACACGCACACACACAAUUGUUUUAUAAUCACAACAAUAACUCAAUUAUUGGCUAAUCUAUUCUUAAAAUUGAAAACAAAUCUCGCAUUCACUGGGUUUUUCUAAGAAACAGAAGGAAUCUCUAGAUAAUUCAAAAAAUCCCAGUCUAGUCAUUCAGCCAUUGAAAGGGAACUAUUUGAAGGAAAAAGCUUCUGUUCUGUAUUCUUCAAGAAGUUUAUAAUGAAUUCUGCUUAGAACAUUCAAAAACAGUUGAAAAAAAGUAUUUGGAAAAUUGAAAAUAACUUUAGUUGUGCGUGAUCAAGAUUUGGAUGAAAAAUGUUUAUAAUGCAUAUGUCUGAGAAUGAAGUUUCUCAUAUAUUGUAAAAUGUAAAUUCAAUUAAAAAUUGCAUUUCAUAAACAGAGUGAAAUCUUAAAAAAAUAUAAAUGUUCAAUUAGUUGACCCAGUACAAUAUAGAAAUUAUUAAAAAAUAAAAAAAAAAAAA
rnacentral:lncRNA from 1 species